AUGGAGGUGGCGUCGCUGUACCGGCGGGUGCUGCCGUCGCCGCCGGCGGUGGAGUUCGCGUCGGCGGAGGGGAAGCGGCUGUUCGCGGAGGCGCUGCAGGGCGGCACCAUGGAGGGCUUCUUCAACCUCAUCUCCUACUUCCAGACGCAGUCGGAGCCGGCCUUCUGCGGCCUCGCCUCCCUCUCCGUCGUGCUCAACGCGCUGGCCAUCGACCCCGGCCGGCCGUGGAAGGGGCCCUGGCGCUGGUUCGACGAGUCCAUGCUCGACUGCUGCGAGCCCCUCCACAAGGUCAAGGCCGAGGGCAUCACCUUCGGCAAGGUCGUCUGCCUCGCGCACUGCGCCGGCGCCCGGGUCCAGUCCUUCCGCGCCGACCAGACCACCAUCCACGACUUCCGCGCCCACCUCACGCGCUGCGCCUCCUCCCAGGACUGCCACCUCAUCUCCUCCUACCACAGGAGCCCCUUCAAGCAGACUGGGACUGGCCAUUUCUCACCGAUCGGCGGGUAUCACGCCGAAAAGGACAUGGCGCUCAUCUUGGAUGUCGCGCGCUUCAAAUACCCUCCUCAUUGGGUUCCAUUGACGCUUCUCUGGGAUGCCAUGAACACGACUGAUGAAGCAACAGGGCUUCUCAGGGGGUUCAUGCUUGUAUCAAGGCGCAGUUCAGCUCCUUCAUUGCUCUACACAGUGAGUUGCGGCCAUGGAAGUUGGAAAAGCAUGGCAAAGUAUUGUGUGGAAGAUGUACCCAAUCUACUGAAGGAUGAGAAUCUAGACAAUGUUACAACACUUCUGUCCCGCCUAGUGGAAUCUCUCCCAGCUAAUGCUGGAGAUUUGAUCAAAUGUGUCAUUGAAGUUAGGAGAAAAGAGGAAGGUGAAUCAAGCUUGAGCAAAGAGGAGAAAGAAAGGCUUUUUUUGAAGGAAAAAGUAUUACAGCAAAUCCGUGAUACUGAUCUUUUCAGAGUAGUCCACGAACUGCAAUAUCCCAAGGGGCUAUGUGGUAGUUGCUCAUCUUCAAGUGAUGAAGAUUCGCUUGCCGAGAUUGCAGCCACUGUGUGCUGCCAAGGAGCUGCAUUCCUAUCUGGUAACCUUGUAUCUAGAGAUGGGUUCUGCUGCCGAGAAACAUGUAUCAAAUGUAUAGAAGCAAAUGGUGAUGGACUAAAGACUGUUAUCUCAGGAACCGUGGUAUCUAAAGGGAAUGAACAGGGUGUUGAUUUGCUUUUACCAACAUCCUCAUCAAAAACAAGCUUAUGCAAUUCAAACUUGAGGAGCAAGAUUGUCAAGUAUCCAUCAAGCACAGAUGUUCUAACUGUCCUACUGCUGGUUUUACAGCCUAACACAUGGCUUGGCAUAAAAGAUGAGAACGUGAAAGCUGAAUUUCAGAGUCUUGUUUCAACAGACAAUCUUCCUGAUCUUCUUAAACAGGAGAUACUGCAUCUAAGGCGGCAGCUCCAUUAUUUGGCUGGUUGUAAAGGACAGGAGGCAUGUCAAGAGCCUCCAUCCCCUUAG
rnacentral:rRNA from 1 species